GGCGCAAUGAAAGUGAAGGUCAGGCAUCGCACUGACUGAGGCAGGAUCCGUCCGGGUGAGCGAAGCUCUUCUUCCCUUCGCGGGUUCGUCCCGCGGGGGAGCUCGGCGGCGCACUGCCAGCCCAUCUCGGCCGCUUCCCGUCGGCGAGGUGGAGCCAGAGCGCACACGUUGGGACCCGAAAGAUGGUGAACUAUGCUCGGGCAGGACGAAGCCAGAGGAAACUCUGGUGGAGGUCCGUAGCGAUUCUGACGUGCAAAUCGAUCGUCGGACCCGAGUAUAGGGGCGAAAGACUAAUCGAACCGUCUA
rnacentral:rRNA from 1 species